CCUAAAUCAAAUAUUGGGGUGUCCCCCCCCCGUAAAUGUGAUGCCACCCCAAAAUAUGACCCCCCCCCCAAAUUUUGGGACCCCCCCAAAUUUGGGGACACCCCUAAACGGGAGAAAAAAAACCCAAAAUUGGGUCGAAAUCUUGAAUUUUUGGGGUUUUCUCCUCAAUUUCUCUCCAAAAAUUGGGGUCUGACCCCAAAAUUUGGGGUGACCCCCCCUUAAAUUUGGGGUGACCUUCCUUAAAUGUGACCCCCCCCCCAAAAUUUGACCCCUCCCAGAUUUGGGGACACCCCGAAAUGUGAAAAAACAAAAAAAAAUGGAUCAAAAUGUUGAAUUUUUGGGUUUUUCUCCUCGAUUUCAACCCCCCCACCCCCCAAAUUUGGGGUGACCCCCCCUAAAUUUGACCCCCCCCAAAAAUUUGACCCCUCCCAGAUUUAGGGACACCCCGAAAUGUGAAAAAAAACCCCAAAAAAUUGAGCAAAAUGUUGAAUUUUUGGGUUUUUCUCCUCGAUUUCCCCUCCCCCCCCCGUGUCUAUUUUUGGGUCCCGCGGUGGGGGAGGGGCGCAGCUGCUGUGGUCACUCUGUGGUCACUCUGUGGUCACUCUGUGGUCACUCUGUUGUGGUCACUCGGUGCUGGUCACUCUCUGCUGGUCACUCCGUGGUCACUCCGUGGUCAGUGGUCACUCAGUGGUCACUCAGCGGUCACUCUGUGGUCACUCAGUGGUCACUCAGCGGUCACUCCGUGGUCAUUCAGCACUGGUCACCCAGCGGUCACUCCGUGGUCAUUCUGACGUCACUCUGAGGUCACUCAGCACCGGUCACUCAGCGGUCACUCAGCGGUUACUCAGUGGUCACUCCGUGGUCACUCAGCGGUCACUCGGUGGUCACUCAGUGGUCACUCCGUGGUCACUCAGCGGUCACUCAGCGGUCACUCCGAGGUCUCUCAGCGGUCACUUCGUGGUCAUUCGGCACUGGUCACUCAGCAGUCACUCCGUGGUCACUCCGUGGUCACUCCGUGGUCAUUCUGAUGUCAUUCUGAGGUCACUCAGCAGUCACUCAGCGGUCACUCAGCGGUCACUCAGCGGUCACUCUGAUGUCACUCUGAAGUCUCU
rnacentral:lncRNA from 1 species